UACGGAGGGUGCAAGCGUUAUCCGGAAUCACUGGGGUUAAAGGGUGCGUAGGCGGCUUGAUAAGUCAGGGGUGAAAGCCCGCAGCUUAACUGCGGAACUGCCUUUGAUACUGUCGAGCUUGAAAGAGGUUGAGGUCAGCGGAACGUGACAUGUAGCGGUGAAAUGCAUAGAUAUGUCACAGAACACCGAUUGCGAAGGCAGCUGGCUGGACCUACUUUGUCGCUGAGGCACGAAAGCGUGGGGAGCGAAUAGG
rnacentral:rRNA from 1 species